CCAAUAGCGUAUAUUAAAGUUGUUGCAGUUAAAAAGCUCGUAGUUGAAUUUCGGGGUUAGUAGGUUGGUCAUGCCUCUGGUAUGUACUGGUCUCACUGAUUCCUCCUUCCUGAUGAGCCGUAAUGCCAUUAAUUUGGUGUUGCGGGGAAUUUGGACUGUUACUUUGAAAAAAUUAGAGUGUUUAAAGCAAGCUAACGCUUGAAUACAUUAGCAUGGAAUAAUGAAAUAGGACGUUCGAUCCUAUUUUGUUGGUUUCUAGGAUUGACGUAAUGAUUAAUAGGGAUAGUUGGGGGCAUUAGUAUUCAAUUGUCAGAGGUGAAAUUCUUGGAUUUAUUGAAGACUAACUACUGCGAAAGCAUUUGCCAAGGAUGUUUUCAUUAAUCAAGAACGAAAGUUAGGGGAUCGAAGACGAUCAGAUACCGUCGUAGUCUAAACCAUAAACUAUGCCGACUAGGGAUCGGAUGAUGUUAAUUUUUUAAUGACUCAUUCGGCGCCUUACA
rnacentral:misc_RNA from 1 species